rnacentral:rRNA from 1 species
AGAGAGAGACAUGCGCGCAUAUCAAUAAGCGGAGGAAAAGAAACUAACAAGGAUUCCCUUAGUAACGGCGAGUGAAGCGGGAAGAGCUCAAAUUUGAAAUCUUCAAGGCUCUACCUUGACGAAUUGUAGUUUAAAGAAGUGUUUUCUGUUGAAGUUUUGGUAAAAGUUCUUUGGAAUAGGACAUCAUAGAGGGUGAGAAUCCCGUAUUUGACCAUUAUUUUCCAGCUUUGUGAUACACUUUCAAAGAGUCGGAUUGUUUGGGAAUGCAGUCCAAAAUGGGUGGUAAAUUUCAUCUAAAGCUAAAUAUUGGCGAGAGACCGAUAGCGAACAAGUACCGUGAGGGAAAGAUGAAAAGAACUUUGAAAAGAGAGUUAAACAGUACGUGAAAUUGUCAAAAGGGAAGCGUUUGACACCAGUGUUGUUUUCUCGAAAAUCAAUUAAAAAUGGCUCGAUUUUGUAUUGUUGAGACCUUAAAAGCUCACUGUACACUUUUCGUGUCUUUUUUAAUGCACUUUUCGUUUAACAAGUCAACAUCAGUUUCUUUUGUUGUAAAAGGGUCAUUGGAAGGUGGCUUUCUUUUCGGAGAAAGUGUUUAUAGCCUUUGGCCUCUGCAAUCGGAGAGGCUGAGGUCUGCAGCGUAGACUCUUCGGGGUUAGAUACAUUUGUGCUAAGUUAUAGCUUUUUAUAGACAACUUGUUGACUAUAAUUAGUCCUUGUAGCUUACUCGCUUAUGCUAUUUUACCUACGCUUAGGAUGUUGAAGAUGUAGCACAUCAU